rnacentral:rRNA from 1 species
UGAGGAAUUUUGCGCAAUGGGAGCAAUCCUGACGCAGCAACGCCGCGUGGGUGAUGAAGGCCUUCGGGUCGUAAAGCCCUGUCAGGUGGGAAGAAUGUCCCGGGACUGAACAGGUUCCGGGAGUGACGGUACCACCAGAGGAAGCACCGGCUAACUCCGUGCCAGAAGCCGCGGUAAUACGGAGGGGGCAAGCGUUAUUCGGAAUUACUGGGUGUAAAGCGCGUGUAGGCGGUCCUGCAAGUCGGAUGUGAAAGCCCCGGGCUUAACCCGGGAAGUGCAUUGGAAACUGGGGGACUUGAGUACUGGAGAGGAUGGGGGAAUUCCCGGUGUAGAGGUGAAAUUCGUAGAGAUCGGGAGGAAUAUCAGUGGCGAAGGCGCCCAUCUGGACGGUAACUGACGCUGAGACGCGAAAGCGUGGGGAGCAAACA